AUUGAACGCUGGCGGCAGGCCUAACACAUGCAAGUCGAACGGUAACAGGAAACAGCUUGCUGUUUCGCUGACGAGUGGCGGACGGGUGAGGAAUGUCUGGGAAACUGCCUGAUGGAGGGGGAUAACUACUGGAAACGGUAGCUAAUACCGCAUAACGUCGCAAGACCAAAGAGGGGGACCUUCGGGCCUCUUGCCAUCGGAUGUGCCCAGAUGGGAUUAGCUAGUAGGUGGGGUAACGGCUCACCUAGGCGACGAUCCCUAGCUGGUCUGAGAGGAUGACCAGCCACACUGGAACUGAGACACGGUCCAGACUCCUACGGGAGGCAGCAGUGGGGAAUAUUGCACAAUGGGCGCAAGCCUGAUGCAGCCAUGCCGCGUGUAUGAAGAAGGCCUUCGGGUUGUAAAGUACUUUCAGCGGGGAGGAAGGGAGUAAAGUUAAUACCUUUACUCAUUGACGUUACCCGCAGAAGAAGCACCGGCUAACUCCGUG
rnacentral:rRNA from 1 species